rnacentral:rRNA from 1 species
AACGAACGCUGGCGGCAGGCUUAACACAUGCAAGUCGAGCGCCCCGCAAGGGGAGCGGCAGACGGGUGAGUAACACGUGGGAACCUACCCUUUUCUGCGGGAUAGCUCUGGGAAACUGGAAUUAAUACCGCAUACGCCCUACGGGGGAAAGAUUUAUCGGAGAAGGAUGGGCCCGCGUUGGAUUAGCUAGUUGGGGGGGUAAUGGCCUACCAAGGCGACGAUCCAUAGCUGGUCUGAGAGGAUGAUCAGCCACAUUGGGACUGAGACACGGCCCAAACUCCUACGGGAGGCAGCAGUGGGGAAUAUUGGACAAUGGGGGCAACCCUGAUCCAGCCAUGCCGCGUGAGUGAUGAAGGCCUUAGGGUUGUAAAGCUCUUUCACCGGUGAAGAUAAUGACGGUAACCGGAGAAGAAGCCCCGGCUAACUUCGUGCCAGCCGCCGCUGUAAGAC